rnacentral:rRNA from 1 species
UACGUAGGGUGCGAGCGUUAAUCGGAAUUACUGGGCGUAAAGCGUGCGCAGGCGGGCUUUUAAGCCAGACGUGAAAUCCCCGGGCUUAACCUGGGAAUGGCGUUUGGGACUGGGAGUCUGGAGUACGGCAGAGGAGACUGGAAUUCCUGGUGUAGCAGUGAAAUGCGUAGAUAUCAGGAGGAACACCGGUGGCGAAAGCGGCUCACUGGCCGGAAUCUGACACUGAGGUGCGAAAGCUAGGGUAGCAAACGGG